GUGGGGAAUAUUGGGCAAUGGGGGAAACCCUGACCCAGCAACGCCGCGUGAAGGAAGAAGGUUUUCGGAUCGUAAACUUCUAUCCUUGGUGAAGAUAAUGACGGUAGCCAAGAAGGAAGCCCCGGCUAACUACGUGCCAGCAGCCGCGGUAAUACGUAGGGGGCAAGCGUUGUCCGGAAUGAUUGGGCGUAACGGGCGCGUAGGCGGCCUGGUAAGUCUGGAGUGAAAGUCCUGCUUUUAAGGUGGGAAUUGCUUUGGAUACUGUCGGGCUUGAGUGCAGGAGAGGUAAGCGGAAUUCCCGGUGUAGCGGUGAAAUGCGUAGAGAUCGGGAGGAACACCAGUGGCGAAGGCGGCUUACUGGACUGUAACUGACGCUGAGGCGCGAAAGUGUGGGGAGCAAACAGGAUUAGAUACACCGGUAGUCC
rnacentral:rRNA from 1 species